UACGUAUGGAGCAAGCGUUAUCCGGAUUUACUGGGUGUAAAGGGAGCGUAGACGGAAUCGCAAGUCUGAUGUGAAAGGCCAUGGCUUAACUGUGGGACUGCAUUGGAAACUGUGAUUCUUGAGUACCGGAGGGGUAAGCGGAAUUCCUAGUGUAGCGGUGAAAUGCGUAGAUAUUAGGAGGAACACCAGUGGCGAAGGCGGCUUACUGGACGGUAACUGACGUUGAGGCUCGAAAGCGUGGGGAGCAAAC
rnacentral:rRNA from 1 species